AUUGAACGCUGGCGGCAUGCUUUACACAUGCAAGUCGAACGGCAGCGCGGGGCAACCUGGCGGCGAGUGGCGAACGGGUGAGUAAUACAUCGGAACGUACCCAGAAGUGGGGGAUAACGUAGCGAAAGUUACGCUAAUACCGCAUACGUUCUACGGAAGAAAGUGGGGGACCUUCGGGCCUCAUGCUUUUGGAGCGGCCGAUGUCUGAUUAGCUAGUUGGUGAGGUAAAGGCUCACCAAGGCGACGAUCAGUAGCUGGUCUGAGAGGACGACCAGCCACACUGGGACUGAGACACGGCCGAGACUCCUACGGGAGGCAGCAGUGGGGAAUUUUGGACAAUGGGCGCAAGCCUGAUCCAGCAAUGCCGCGUGAGUGAAGAAGGCCUUCGGGUUGUAAAGCUCUUUUGUCAGGGAAGAAACGGCUGAGGAUAAUACCUUCGGCUAAUGACGGUACCUGAAGAAUAAGCACCGGCUAACUACGUG
rnacentral:rRNA from 1 species